rnacentral:rRNA from 1 species
UACCGUGAGGGAAAGGUGAAAAGAACCCUAAGUAAGGGAGUGAAAGAGAACCUGAAACCGUACGCCUACAAGCGGUCGGAGCACAUUUACUGUGUGACGGCGUGCCUUUUGCAUAAUGAGCCUACGAGUUACUGUUGCUAGCAAGGUUAAGGAUUUAAGGUCCGGAGCCGAAGCGAAAGCGAGUCUGAAUAGGGCGACCAUAGUUAGUAGUAGUAGACGCGAAACCGAGUGAUCUACCCAUGGGCAGGUUGAAGCUGUGGUAACACACAGUGGAGGACCGAACCAGUUGACGUUGAAAAGUCUUUGGAUGACCUGUGGGUAGGGGUGAAAGGCCAAUCAAACUCGGAAAUAGCUCGUACUCCCCGAAAUGCAUUUAGGUGCAGCGUUGAAUAAAAGUUUUAUAGAGGUAGA